rnacentral:rRNA from 1 species
GCGAACGGGUGAGUAACACGUGGGUGAUCUGCCCUGCACUUCGGGAUAAGCCUGGGAAACUGGGUCUAAUACCGGAUAUGACCUCCUAUCGCAUGGUGGGUGGUGGAAAGAUUUAUCGGUGCAGGAUGGGCCCGCGGCCUAUCAGCUUGUUGGUGGGGUAAUGGCCUACCAAGGCGACGACGGGUAGCCGACCUGAGAGGGUGACCGGCCACACUGGGACUGAGACACGGCCCAGACUCCUACGGGAGGCAGCAGUGGGGAAUAUUGCACAAUGGGCGAAAGCCUGAUGCAGCGACGCCGCGUGAGGGAUGACGGCCUUCAAGUUGUAAACCUCUUUCAGCAGGGACGAAGCGCAAGUGACGGUACCUGCAGAAGAAGCACCGGCUAACUACGUGCCAGCAGCCGCGGUAAUACGUAGGGUGCAAGCGUUGUCCGGAAUUACUGGGCGUAAAGAGUUCGUAGGCGGUUUGUCGCGUCGUUUGUGAAAACCAGCAGCUCAACUGCUGGCUUGCAGGCGAUACGGGCAGACUUGAGUACUGCAGGGGAGACUGGAAUUCCUGGUGUAGCGGUGAAAUGCGCAAAUAUCAGGAGGAACACCGGUGGCGAAGGCGGGUCUCUGGGCAGUAACUGACGCUGAGGAACGAAAGCGUGGGUAGCGAACAGGAUUAGAUACCCUGGUAGUCCACGCCGUAAACGGUGGGCGCUAGGUGUGGGUUCCUUCCACGGAAUCC